UACAUAUGGGGCAAGCGUUGUUCGGAAUUACUGGCAUAAAGGUGCGUAGGUGGUCUAUUAAGUCAGGGGUGAAUCCCGCGGCCCAACCUCGGAACCGCCUUCAAUACUGGAUAUCUUGAGUUCGGGAGAGGUGAGUGGAAUGCCGAGUGUAGAGGUGAAAUUCGUAGAUAUUCGGCGGAACACCAGUGGCGAAGGCGACUCACUGGCCCGAUACUGACGCUGAGGCGCGAAAGCGUGGGGAGCAACAGG
rnacentral:rRNA from 1 species